UCGCAGCCCCGCUUGAGUGGAGCUCUUUUUGCAAAUUUUGGUGUUGGAAAAAGCGUUGGUAAAUUUUCAAAAAAGCGGGAACGGAAGACGGAUUAAGC
rnacentral:misc_RNA from 1 species